GACGAACGCUGGCGGCGUGCUUAACACAUGCAAGUCGAACGGAAAGGCCCUGCUUUUGUGGGGUGCUCGAGUGGCGAACGGGUGAGUAACACGUGAGUAACCUGCCCUUGACUUUGGGAUAACUUCAGGAAACUGGGGCUAAUACCGGAUAGGAGCUCCUGCUGCAUGGUGGGGGUUGGAAAGUUUCGGCGGUUGGGGACGGACUCGCGGCUUAUCAGCUUGUUGGUGGGGUAGUGGCUUACCAAGGCUUUGACGGGUAGCCGGCCUGAGAGGGUGACCGGCCACAUUGGGACUGAGAUACGGCCCAGACUCCUACGGGAGGCAGCAGUGGGGAAUAUUGCACAAUGGGCGGAAGCCUGAUGCAGCAACGCCGCGUGCGGGAUGACGGCCUUCGGGUUGUAAACCGCUUUCGCCUGUGACGAAGCGUGAGUGACGGUAAUGGGUAAAGAAGCACCGGCUAACUACGUGCCAGCAGCCGCGGUGAUACGUAGGGUGCGAGCGUCGUCCGGAUUUAUUGGGCGUAAAGGGCUCGUAGGUGGUUGAUCGCGUCGGAAGUGUAAUCUUGGGGCUUAACCCUGAGCGUGCUUUCGAUACGGGUUGACUUGAGGAAGGUAGGGGAGAAUGGAAUUCCUGGUGGAGCGGUGGAAUGCGCAGAUAUCAGGAGGGACACCAGUGGCGAAGGCGGUUCUCUGGGCCUUUCCUGACGCUGAGGAGCGAAAGCGUGGGGAGCGAACAGGCUUAGAUACCCUGGUAGUCCACGCUGUAAACGGUGGGUACUAGGUGUGGGGUCCAUUCCACGGGUUCCGUGCCGUAGCUAACGCUUUAAGUACCCCGCCUGGGGAGUACGGCCGCAAGGCUAAAACUCAAAGGAAUUGACGGGGCCCCGCACAAGCGGCGGAGCAUGCGGAUUAAUUCGAUGCAACGCGUAGAACCUUACCUGGGUUUGACAUGGAUCGGGAGUGCUCAGAGAUGGGUGUGCCUCUUUUGGGGUCGGUUCACAGGUGGUGCAUGGCUGUCGUCAGCUCGUGUCGUGAGAUGUUGGGUUAAGUCCCGCAACGAGCGCAACCCUUGUUCACUGUUGCCAGCACGUUAUGGUGGGGACUCAGUGGAGACCGCCGGGGUCAACUCGGAGGAAGGUGGGGAUGACGUCAAGUCAUCAUGCCCCUUAUGUCCAGGGCUUCACGCAUGCUACAAUGGCUGGUACAGAGAGUGGCGAGCCUGUGAGGGUGAGCGAAUCUCGGAAAGCCGGUCUCAGUUCGGAUUGGGGUCUGCAACUCGACCUCAUGAAGUCGGAGUCGCUAGUAAUCGCAGAUCAGCAACGCUGCGGUGAAAACGUUCCCGGGGCU
rnacentral:rRNA from 1 species